rnacentral:rRNA from 1 species
AGGACGAACGCUGGCGGCGUGCCUAACACAUGCAAGUCGAACGGGGGUAGCAAUACCCCAGUGGCGAACGGGUGCGUAACACGUGAAGAACUUGUCCAUCGGCGGGGGAUAGCCGGCCCAACGGCCGGGUAAUACCGCGUACGCCGUCUGAAGCGCAUGCUUCGGCCGGGAAAGCAGCAAUGCACCGAUGGAGAGCUUCGCGGCCUAUCAGCUAGUUGGCGGGGUAAUGGCCCACCAAGGCAACGACGGGUAGCUGGUCUGAGAGGAUGACCAGCCACAUUGGGACUGAGACACGGCCCAGACUCCUACGGGAGGCAGCAGUGGGGAAUAUUGCGCAAUGGGGGAAACCCUGACGCAGCGACGCCGCGUGUGGGAUGACGGCCUUCGGGUUGUAACCACUGUCGCGAGGACGAAAAAAUGACGGUACCUCGAAAGGAAGCACCGGCUAACUCUGUGCCAGCAGCCGC